CAGUAGCCGCGGUAAUACGUAGGGUGCGAGCGUUAAUCGGAAUUACUGGGCGUAAAGCGUGCGCAGGCGGUUAUAUAAGACAGAUGUGAAAUCCCCGGGCUCAACCUGGGAACUGCAUUUGUGACUGGCGAGCUAGAGUAUGGCAGAGGGGGGUAGAAUUCCACGUGUAGCAGUGAAAUGCGUAGGGAUGUGGAGGAAUACCGAUGGCGAAGGCAGCCCCCUGGGCCAAUACUGACGCUCAUGCACGAAAGCGUGGGGAGCAAACAGGAUUAGAUACCCCCGUAGUCCCUGUCUCUUAUAC
rnacentral:rRNA from 1 species